UGAAUUAAGUAUUUUAGUUAUACCAACUUCUCUGGAGUGUUUCUGCAUCUUUGAUUUUUUGCAUCCAUCUGUUUGGGAGCUUACUGCUUAAGCAGAAAAUGGCGGCACCGAGAGGGACUCAAAUUCUGUAUGGCAACUCUUGGCCCAAUACGAGACCCUGAUGAGGGGGUGGGAGAGGUGGUGACAUGUCCAGCUUGUGCAAGACGAGGACUGGGUAGCCCCUGAGUAAAUGAGGGAAGGAACCAGGAGGAGCAGGACAGAGAGCAUUCCCCUGCAGGCCGGGGAGGAAUUUAUAAGCAGAAGCUCAGACUUGGCUGUUCCUAGGGAAGCUGAUGGGUGCUGGCUGAGGUUUUCUGGAGAGGAUAGGUGGAAUUAAACUUGAAGGCCAGAAGGAUUAAGAUGGCUUCCGUCUGGGAGCUUCUUCCCUCCCAUGCUGUGGGUGGGAGGAGGAAAUAGAAAAUGUGGCAGAAAGGACAGGCCAGUGGCUGAUGGCAAAAUCAGGGGCAGAAAGCUGGCCAGGCUUGGGUGUCAGUGGGUUUGUGGGUAGACUUUGGAUUUGAUGGAGUCCAGGUCUGUCUUGGCGGUUAAGGAGCAGGCUAUAGCGGGAAGAGGAUGCUCAUCCUCAGCACGGUUGCUGUAUACAACUGUGUGAUAGGUUCACAUUUUCUUUGGAUGACUCCACUCCCCUUCUGCACUGGUUGUCUGUUGCGGGUCUCACCCUCUUGCAGCCCAGGGGUGAAUUCCAGGUGCUGCACUGGUGUUUCUCACCUUCGUCAAUCUCGUUAGGCUAAACUCCAAGUGUUAUUCAAAGUAGCCAAAAUUAUUCCCCCCUGUAGGUCUGAAAAUAAGGGAUGAAUCUCUAUUGAUAAAUAAAGCAAGCACCUGUAGACCUCAUGCUGGGGAAUAGGGACUUAACUUUUGAUAUGUCAGAUUUCUCAAAGCCAAGGGUAGAUCCAGGUUGUGUGGGGUCUAAAGCUUAUUUAGUUUUUGGUGCUCUCUUAAAAAAAAAAAAGUACAGUUUGUCAAUACACAACGGGGUAUGGGCAUUAAAAUGUAUUUAGAAUGGGAAAAAUAACACAACAAAUUAAAAAAGUUGACAAAUGCCACUGUCACGGCAGAAACCCCCACAAACAGCACACUGUUGCUGCUUAGCUGUCCAUCACACCUCUACAGUGUAUCCUCUUUCCCCGGAUGUUUGGCCUCAUGUCCUGUGAGUGCCUCUUCAUAUGACAACAGUUUGUAAUGUUGUUUUCUUUUGAGUGAGUGGAAAGAAUUCUGUCUUUCUUCGGGUGUGGCUGAUGGAGCUUGUUGUGGAUUCUCGGUAGUUUACGGAAGUCCCUUUCGCCUGCAGGACUCUUCACCGCUGGUGACAUAUUGGGACCACCCCGGCCAUUUCUUGCUUGCAGAGAGCUGCUUCCCAGAGAUGACCUUGGGCGACUGUCUCCUGUGGGCCUCUCUAGGCAUGGGCUGCUGCACUGUUGCCUCAGUGGCUGGUGCUGCUUAGCUAGGUCUGUGCACCACCCAGCCCUCCAACUCCCGCUGUGAUUGGGGUGACAGCAAUUCUUUUCUAUAGCUUAAGCUAUAGAAAGGAGGGAAUUUUUUGGUUGAUGCAAUUGAAAAGUGUCGGGGCAGAACCGUCUGGUUCCAGCGAGCAGAACUAGAGCGAUGGUUACUGAAAUCACCGGGAUGAACCUGUCCUCUCCCUGCGGCUUCACACUCAGGGGCAUGCUCCCCGCAUGGCGGAUCCAGGAGAUUUCAGGCUUCCAUCCUCUCAGGAACAUCUGUGAAUGGGUAAGAGACUGUUUCCUCGACAAUAGAAGUAGACUGCACAUGGUAAGUUCUAGGACACCUAUUGAUAGGAACGAUGCUGAGGCCCAGAUCCCUGAGGAUUCAUCCAAGGGGGUUUGCGGGACACCUGUUUUAUAAAAUAAGGCGUGUUGAACAUGUCUGUGAUGGGCAGUUCAGGAAGCAGAGCCAGAGAGUGAAGCAGGCUGGGGCCAGGUCAGAGGAGCUCUGGAGGCCAAGCUCAGGACUUUGGGCUCUGAGAGGUUGGAGCUGGUCAAAGUUCCAAACAGUAAUAGAAGGACAUCACCAGGUUGAAUGUAAUCUCACCUGCUGACUAUACAAGUCUGAUGUGAAAAGCAUGCUGCUUCCUCCAUUUCCAGUACCAAGGGCUCCUGAUCACCUGGCUUUGGAGCCUUCUGCAUCUUGGGGAGAGGGGGCCCAGCCAGCACUCACGGUGAGAACAGAGCUCCCUUUCGGGACCCCAUUAUGCUGACCCUGCCUUCCCCUUCUAGAAGAAAUAAAGCAUCGAAAGUCCUGCUUGUGGUAAGAUUGCUCGUUGCUUUCUGUGGCCAAAAAUGUAGGGGUUCCAUCUGCCAGCAUUUUGAAAUAAGUAGUUCAUUUUUUUUUUUUUUUUACAUCUGGCCAGAACCCACCCAAAUGGUGAUAUACAAAUGUAAGUGUUAAUGGUAUUUUAUAUUGUUGUUGUGGGCGUGUGUAUGUGUGUGUGAAGUUGACUACUGUGGCAGCCGUAGCCAGCCUGCUCUGAAAUAAUUCAUGUCAAAGUAAAGAGAAAAUGCUUGUAAAGACGAUUUAUAGGCACACACACACACAUACACACACACACACACACAUACAAUUUUUGUGAUGAGAAUAUUUUCAGGCAUUUUAGAAUGAGAGGCUUCCAGAAAUGUUUGAAAGCGAUACUGGGCAUGAAAGAAAAACCUCUGCUUGGAGCUGCAUACGGAGGGCACAUCAAUCAGAAAUAUUUAGCAUGAUUACAUGCUAGUAUUUAUUAAAAAUGGGGGGCUUUAUUUUAAAGGAUUUCUGGGCUUACUGUGCCUAAUGUCAGCAAACGUUUGUGUGUCCAGCUCUACCUCUCAGUGACAGGGCUCAACGGUGGGCAUUUAGCAAGCUCUGUGCACCUACACGCUGCAGAUGGUUUCGUUUUAUAAGAGAUGAAACUGCAUUUGGUGGAACUGAUUAAAUAUAAAAACACCACCAUCUGCCAUUUAUUCUAAUAUAAAAUGGU